rnacentral:lncRNA from 1 species
AAGAUGGGCAACAGGGGCUGGCUCAGGUGGCAAUCUUUAAGCAAAAAAAACAAAAAAACAAAAAACAAAAAACAAAACCCACAAUGGAGUGGAGACCCGGGGGAAAUCAACACUGAAAAAUACAAAUACAAUGGAAGACCAAUAGACAGAGCAGGCACUUUCACCUGGGGAGGAGGAGGUACGCAUGGAUGACCGAUAAGCGCAUGAAAAGAUGUGAGCUGUUCCCUGGAAAAGCAAGUGAGAAAAUUAGAGGGAGACAUUGUGGGGACACAUGGGUGAGACUGCCUUCUUCCAAAUACAGGAACAGGAUCAAACUGCUAGUGAGGUCGCGGAGAAGCCAAGUCAGUCACUCACGCCUCACUGGUGGUGAAGGGAAACGGUAUGGCCUCUGUGAAAAAUGGCGUGGCGGGUUCCAAAACUCACACGCCACGGAAACAACCACCAAAAGUGGCAACCCACAUAAGCCCUUGGUGUAUCUUGCCUCCUAAGAGCGUGUGUAUGUAGCUGGAGCCUUGGGUCGUUAAGGCUUCCACAGUGAUCUGUGGUGGUGGGGGUGGGGGCCUUGGGCCUUGGGGGUCUCCGCAGUUUCUUUGCAGGCCUGAUCAGGCUGAAGUAGGACUUCUGCUCUGGGUGUGCUACUUUGCCCUAGAGCUGAAAGGCACAACGUGCAGGCUUCUUUCCAAAGGGCGAGUUGGGCCCCACAGCAUCUUGCUUCCAGCUCUUUGGGAAGCUAAGAAACAACUCGCUCUGCUCAGUGCUCUUACAGCCUACCGGGAACACCUCUUCCAAAGGCCUGUGAAACGCAGUUUCUUUGCAGGCCUGAUCUGGCUGAAGUAGGACCUCUGCUCUGUGUGUGCUACAUUGCCCUAGAGCUGAAAGGCACAACGUGCAGGCUUCUUUCCAAGGGGCGAGUUGGGCCCCACAGCCUCUUGCUUCCAGCUCUUUGGGAAGCUAAGAAACAAAUUGCUCUUCACAGUGCCCUUAGAGCCUACCGUGAACAUCUCUUCCAAAGGCCUAUGAAACGCAGUUUCUUUGCAGGCCUGAUCUGGCUGAAGUAGGACUUCUGCUCUGGGUGUGCUACUUUGCCCUAGAGCUGAAAGGCACACCGUGCAGGCUUCUUUCCAAAGGGCGAGUUGGGCCCCACAGCAUCUUGCUUCCAGCUCUUUGGGAAGCUAAGAAAGAACACGCUCUGCACAGUGCUCUUACAGCCUAGUGGGAACAUCUCUUCCAAAGGCCAGUGAAACGCAGUUUCUUUGCAGGCCUGAUCUGGCUGAAGUAGGACUUCUGCUCUGGGUGUGCUACAUUGCCCUAGAGCUGAAAGGCACACCAUGCAGGCUUCUUUCCAAAGGGCGAUUUGGGCCCCACAGCAUCUUCCUCCAGCUCUUUGGGAAGCUAAGAAACAACUCGCUCUGCACAGUGCUCUUACAGCCUACCGGGAACAUCUCUUCCAAAGGCCUGUGAAACGAAGUUUCUUUGCAGGCCUGAUCUGGCUGAAGUAGGACUUCUGCUCUGGGAGUGCUACAUUGCCCUAGAGCUGAAAGGAACACCGUGCAGGCUUCUUUCCAAAGGGCGAGUUGUGCCCCACAGCAUCUUGCUUCCAGCUCUUUGGGAAGCUAAGAAACAACUCGCUCUGCUCAGUGCUCUUACAGCCUAGUGGGAACAUCUCUUCCAAAGGCCUGUGAAACGCAGUUUCUUUGCAGGCCUGAUCUGCCUGAAGUAGGACUUCUGCUCUGGGUGUGCUACAUUGCCCUAGAGCUGAAAGGAACAAUGUGCAGGCUUCUUUCCAAAGGGCGAGUUGGGCCCCACAGCAUCUUGCUUCCAGCUCUUUGGGAAGCUAAGAAACAACUCGCUCUGCUCAGUGCUCUUACAGCCUAGUGGGAACAUCUCUUCCAAAGGCCUGUGAAACGCAGUUUCUUUGCAGGCCUGAUCUGCCUGAAGUAGGACUUCUGCUCUGGGUGUGCUACAUUGCCCUAGAGCUGAAAGGAACAAUGUGCAGGCUUCUUUCCAAGGGGCGAGUUGGGCCCCACAGCAUCUUGCUUCCAGCUCUUUGGGAAGCUAAGAAACAACUCGCUUUGCACAGUGCUCUUACAACCUACCGGGAACUUCUCUUCCAAAGGCCUGUGAAACGCAGUUUCUUUGCAGGCCUGAUCUGGCUGAAGUAGGACUUCUGCUCUGGGUGUGCUACUUUGCCCUAGAGCUGAAAGGCACAACGUGCAGGCUUCUUUCCAAAGGGCGAGUUGGGCCCCACAGCAUCUUGCUUCCAGCUCUUUGGGAAGCUAAGAAACAACUCGCUCUGCACAGUGCUCUUACAGCCUACCGGGAACAUCUCUUCCAAAGGCCUGUGAAACGCAGUUUCUUUGCAGGCCUGAUCUGGCUGAAGUAGGACUUCUGCUCUGGGAGUGCUACACGGCCCUAGAGCUGAAAGGAACACCGUGCAGGCUUCUUUAAAAAGGGCGAGUUGGGCCCCACAGCAUCUUGCUUCCAGCUCUUUGGGAAGCUAAGAAACAACUCGCUCUGCACAGUGCUCUUACAGCCUACCGGGAACAUCUCUUCCAAAGGCCUGUGAAACGCAGUUUCUUUGCAGGCCUGAUGUGGCUGAAGUAGGACUUCUGCUCUGGGUGUGCUACUUUGCCCUAGAUCUGAAAGGCACAACGUGCAGGCUUCUUUCCAAAGGGCGAUUUGGGCCCAACAGCAUCUUGCUUCCAGCUCUUUGGGAAGCUAAGAAACAACUCGCUCUGCACAGUGCUCUUACAGCCUCCCGGGAACAUCUCUUCCAAAGGCCUGUGAAACGCAGUUUCUUUGCAGGCCUGAUCUGGCUGAAGUAGGACUUCUGCUCUGGGUGUGCUACAUUGCCCUAGAGCUGAAAGGCACACCGUGCAGGCUUCUUUCCAAAGGGCGAGUUGGGCCCCACAGCAUCUUGCUUCCAGCUCUUUGGGAAGCUAAGAAACAACUCGCUCUGCACAGUGCUCUUACAAACUACCGGGAACUUCUCUUCCAAAGGCCUGUGAAACGCAGUUUCUUUGCAGGCCUGAUCUGGCUGAAGUAGGACUUCUGCUCUGGGUGUGCUACUUUGCCCUAGAGCUGAAAGGCACAACGUGCAGGCUUCUUUCCAAAGGGCGAGUUGGGCCCCACAGCAUCUUGCUUCCAGCUCUUUGGGAAGCUAAGAAACAACUCGCUGUGCACAGUGCUCUUACAGCCUACCGGGAACAUCUCUCCCAAAGGCCUGUGAAACGCAGUUUCUUUGCAGGCCUGAUCUGGCUGAAGUAGGACUUCUGCUCUGGGUGUGCUCCAUUGCCCUAGAGCUGAGAGGCACAACGUGCGGGCUUCUUUCCACAGGGCAAUUGGGCCCCACAGCAUCUUGCUUCCAGCUCUUUGAGAAGCUAAGAAACAACUCGCUCUGCACAGUGCUCUUACAGCCUACCGGGAACAUCUCUGCCAAAGGCCUGUGAAACGCAGUUUCUUUGCAGGCCUGAUCUGGCUGAAGUAGGACUUCUGCUCUGGGUGUGCUACUUUGCCCUAGAGCUGAAAGGCACAACGUGCAGGCUUCUUUCCAAAGGGCGAGUUGGGCCACACACGAUCUUGCUUCCAG